rnacentral:rRNA from 1 species
GAUGAACGCUGGCGGCGUGCCUAAUACAUGCAAGUCGAGCGAACAGACGAGGAGCUUGCUCCUCUGACGUUAGCGGCGGACGGGUGAGUAACACGUGGAUAACCUACCUAUAAGACUGGGAUAACUUCGGGAAACCGGAGCUAAUACCGGAUAAUAUAUUGAACCGCAUGGUUCAAUAGUGAAAGACGGUUUUGCUGUCACUUAUAGAUGGAUCCGCGCCGCAUUAGCUAGUUGGUAAGGUAACGGCUUACCAAGGCAACGAUGCGUAGCCGACCUGAGAGGGUGAUCGGCCACACAGGAACUGAGACACGGUCCAGACUCCUACGGGAGGCAGCAGUAGGUAAUCUUCCGCAAUGGGCGAAAGCUUGACGGAGCAACGCCGCGUGAGUGAUGAAGGGCUUCGGAUCGUAAAACGCUGUUAUUAGGGAAGAACAAAUGUGUAAGUAACUAUGCACGUCUUGACGGUACCUAAUCAGAAAGCCACGGCUAACUACGU